rnacentral:rRNA from 1 species
CGAACGUUAGCGGCGCGCUUAACACAUGCAAGUCGUACGAGAAAGAGUCUUCGGACUCCGGUAAAGUGGCGCACGGGUGAGUAACACGUAGGUAAUCUGCCCCUAGGCGGGGGAUAACUUUCCGAAAGGGAUGCUAAUACCGCAUAAGACCACGGUCAGUCCGCUGACCGGGGUUAAAGCUGGCCUCUACAUGUAAGCUAGCACCUGGGGAUGAGCCUGCGGCCCAUCAGCUUGUUGGUAGGGUAAUGGCCUACCAAGGUUAGGACGGGUAGCUGGUUUGAGAGGAUGAUCAGCCACACUGGCACUGAAACACGGGCCAGACUCCUACGGGAGGCAGCAGUGGGGAAUAUUGGACAAUGGGCGAAAGCCUGAUCCAGCGACGCCGCGUGAGUGAUGAAGGCCUUCGGGUUGUAAAGCUCUGUGGGGAGGGAAGAAAAAAGUGUGUUCAAAUAGGGCAUGCUAUUGACGGUACCUCCAUAGCAAGCACCGGCUAACUCU